rnacentral:rRNA from 1 species
AUUGAACGCUGGCGGAAUGCUUUACACAUGCAAGUCGAACGGCAGCACGGGGGCAACCCUGGUGGCGAGUGGCGAACGGGUGAGUAACACAUCGGAACGUGCCCAGUCGUGGGGGAUAACGUAGCGAAAGCUACGCUAAUACCGCAUACGAUCUACGGAUGAAAGCGGGGGAUCGCAAGACCUCGCGCGAUUGGAGCGGCCGAUGGCAGAUUAGGUAGUUGGUGGGGUAAAGGCUCACCAAGCCGACGAUCUGUAGCUGGUCUGAGAGGACGACCAGCCACACUGGGACUGAGACACGGCCCAGACUCCUACGGGAGGCAGCAGUGGGGAAUUUUGGACAAUGGGCGCAAGCCUGAUCCAGCCAUUCCGCGUGCAGGAUGAAGGCCUUCGGUUGUAACUAGCUUUUGUACGGUAACGAAACGGGACUACUCUCUAAUACA